UCCUCCCAGACCCACUGCAUCAUUAGCAAAAUCCACCUCACACUUCCUGGUGAUCACCUCUUUGCCUACACCAGAUGUGACUCCACCUUGCCACAAACGACUUCACAACAUGUAAACUCUUUAUAGGCAUCUGCAACAGAGCAAAACAACAUGAAGCCAAUGCCACUCGACAGAUCCAAUGGAUAAUAAAUUUUAUACGUGCCUUUGUUAUUAUUUCAAUUCAUUGUCUUUUAUGAUAUUUCAUGAUAUAUAUCAUAAUUAUUGACAUUUUUGUUUGUUGUUUAGUUUUAUUCCCCAUACUACAACAACUUAGGCCAUAAUGGAUGUCAUUAAAUAGAUGUAUGUUAUGGCAUAGUCGAGUUACAGAAAAGAUACCUUGGGAGGUUAGAGACAAGUGGUUUGAGAAGUGGAAGGUAAAAUUAAACUUAAUCACAUUUUAAUUACAUUAUGAUCUUUAUUUUAGUUUUACUGGUUAUUAAUGAUCAAUGUUUUCUGUAUAAGAGACUUCAAUUUGGAUCACGAGCCCCACAUUUUUUCCAGAAGACAUUCAACUAUUGCAUGUGUCAACGUCUUCAGUAGAUGCUUAAGGAUGUCUGCCAAGGCAAGAAAGAGACCAUACAGUGGUUGCAUUGCGAUACUUGAGGCACUACUUUGAGACUAAUGCUAGCUUCAAGCGUUGCCAAACAACGAAUAUGGCAAAUAUGGCAUUGGCAAGAGGUGACUUGUUCCAUUGUAGAGACUUGGCAAUCAUCGUAUCCAUAAAAAGGAAGACAAAUAAUAAUUAGUUUUGAUUUUAUUGAUAUCAUCAUUGUAUUUAUACUUGUCUUCAUUUGUGCUUGACUAUAUGCUGACAAAAGGAGGAUGGAUCGCGAGCCGACUUACACUGAGGUGUUCAGGCAUCUCCACACUAGGAAGGAGAAGAAAGCUCUAUAAAUGGAUGAGCGAUCCAAGUGUUUAUAUGUGAGUCUCAAUCAUUUUAAUAGUUACUUUAAAUAAUAUUAAUUUCAACUGUGGUAACCAAAUCUCUUUUUUUAGUGCAUAUGACAAGUAUACAGAAAUCUUGGAGAUUCGACCCAGAAAUCCGAGUAGAGUGCAUAGGAAGGCGAUGGAUCAAUUAUUGCUACUAUGGUGGAUCCAAAUGUGCUAUGGCUAGAGAUGGUUAGACAACCAUACAAGAUCAUCAUUUAUGGACAUGGAUUUUUCUUACCAACACACUUUAAUAUGGUCCUCUAGUGGCAUCCUCCACAACUACAAAUGUAUCUUCGCCUUCUCAGAAGACCAUCACUGAAUUGCAUGAGCGGAUCCGCAGUCUCACACAAAGUUUAGAGGAUCAAGGUCGGUAAUACCACGAAGUUGAGGACUGCAUCUGUGACUUGCUCACUCGCUUUGAUGAGCGUGAGUCAUUGUUUAUAGAGGAUAAAUAAACCAUUUCAAAAACUUGUGCAGAAGUCUUGUGGAACUGAGAGGAAAUCCCAAAAUAAGGGAGGAGAUGACUGCAUACUAUGAGCAUAUGUGAGCCGGAUUGAGCUCUAUGGGCAGGGGGUUGUCAUCAACAACGAUGCCAUCAUACCAUCUACGUGGCCUUAUAGUACAUCUUAGUCGAUUGUUCAUUGCAUCAUUUAUUUCAUUUGAUAAUUUUUCAUAAUUGUAC
rnacentral:lncRNA from 1 species